AUGUUGCCCAGGCUGGCCUUAAACUCCUGGGCUCAAGUGAUCCUCCCACCUCGGGCUCCCAAAGUGCUUGGGAUUAUAGGCGUGAGCCACCAUGCCCGGCCCUGUUCUUCUGAUUUUCUCAGCUUUCUCUCUCUUCUUUCCUAUCUCUGUGUCCUUUCCUUUAUCAUCUGGGAGAUUUCCUUGUCUGUAUUCUUCAACCCUUCCACUGCAAUUUUAUUUCUCCUAUCCAGAAGCUCUUUCUCGUUCUCUGGCUGUUCUUUUUUUAUAGCCUCCUGUUCUUGUUUCAUGGAUGAAACAUCUCUAAGGAUGUUAAUUAGAGGCUGUCUUGUGUGUCUGUGUGUGUCAGUUUUCUUCUGCUUCCUGCACUGCCCUGUUUCCUUUGAGCUGG
rnacentral:lncRNA from 10 species